GUAAAAUUAGGAACAGUUGUAGCUCUC
rnacentral:piRNA from 1 species